AUCUCCUUGACUUGGAGACUUGCAUAGCUUCUGUAGGACAGUAAGAGCAGUUGCCCGUUUGGGCCGAGCCUUUGGCACAGCCUUGGCCGAUAACUGAAGGCAGUACUCAGGUUGCACCAUAGAAUUCAAAGAGACAAUCUGCCCUCAUUGCACCAUAAGCAUGUGAGUGUUUCGGAUCGGCACCGUAUGAAGUGGGAUUAGCAGCCAACUGACUGACUGUGUUCGCUUGCGUGUGUUGCACCAUGUGAAAGCCAGUGCUGCUGCUGCACCUACAGAACCUACAUUUUAGACUGCAGCAAAAGAAAGCCAUUUUUGUCUUUUUACAUCGAGUAGCACCACAGGAAAAGUAAAAAAUGUAAGCUCACUUCCACCUUUGCACAUUGGGAUUUUUAAACAAGGCUUUGAACCAGUUCAAGGAAGGAAAACAAAAUCAGAAACUUCAUAUAUUUGAAAAAUGUUCAUUUACUACAAACUACAAAAUAUUUUCUGCAAGCAACAACGUGGUGCUGACAUCACUUCCUGUCUUCCUCUAGAUGUUGUACAUGUCUUUGAAUGGCAUAGAGAAAUUAACAUGCAAAAGGUAAUUAAAGCAGCAUGAUAGUAUUUGUGUAAUUGUGUGGGU